rnacentral:rRNA from 1 species
UGGGGAAUAUUGCACAAUGGGCGGAAGCCUGAUGCAGCGACGCCGCGUGGGGGAUGAAGGCCUUCGGGUUGUAAACUCCUUUCGACAGGGACGAAGCUUUUGUGACGGUACCUGUAUAAGAAGCACCGGCUAACUACGUGCCAGCAGCCGCGGUAAUACGUAGGGUGCGAGCGUUGUCCGGAAUUACUGGGCGUAAAGAGCUCGUAGGUGGUUUGUCGCGUCGUCUGUGAAAUUCCGGGGCUUAACUCCGGGUGUGCAGGCGAUACGGGCUGACUUGAGUGCUGUAGGGGAGACUGGAAUUCCUGGUGUAGCGGUGAAAUGCGCAGAUAUCAGGAGGAACACCGAUGGCGAAGGCAGGUCUCUGGGCAGUAACUGACGCUGAGGAGCGAAAGCAUGGGUAGCGAACAGG